GUGAGGAAUAUUGGACAAUGGGCGCAAGCCUGAUCCAGCCAUGCCGCGUGCAGGAAGACGCAUCUAUGGUGUGUAAACUGCUUUUGUACGGGAAGAAACACUCCCUCGUGAGGGAGCUUGACGGUACCGUAAGAAUAAGGAUCGGCUAACUCCGUGCCAGCAGCCGCGGUAAUACGGAGGAUCCAAGCGUUAUCCGGCAUCAUUGGGCUUCAAGGGUCCGUAGGCGGUUUAAUAAGUCAGUGGUGAAAGCCCAUCGCUCAACGAUGGAACGGCCAUUGAUACUGUUAGACUUGAAUUACAAGGAAGUAACUAGAAUAUGUAGUGUAGCGGUGAAAUGCUUAGAUAUUACAUGGAAUACCAAUUGCGAAGGCAGGUUACUACUUGUGGAUUGACGCUGAUGGACGAAAGCGUGGGGAGCGAACAGGAUUAGAUACCCGAGUAGUCC
rnacentral:rRNA from 1 species